rnacentral:rRNA from 1 species
CUCAGGAUGAACGCUAGCUACAGGCUUAACACAUGCAAGUCGAGGGGAAACGAUAGAGAAAGCUUGCUUUUUCUAGGCGUCGACCGGCGCACGGGUGAGUAACGCGUAUCCAACCUGCCCAUCACUUGGGGAUAACCUUGCGAAAGUAAGACUAAUACCCAAUGACGUCUCUAGAAGACAUCUGAAAGAGAUUAAAGAUUUAUCGGUGAUGGAUGGGGAUGCGUCUGAUUAGCUUGUUGGCGGGGUAACGGCUCACCAAGGCGACGAUCAGUAGCCGGUCUGAGAGGAUGAACGGCCACAUUGGGACUGAGACACGGCCCAGACUCCUACGGGAGGCAGCAGUGGGGAAUAUUGCACAAUGGGGGAAACCCUGAUGCAGCGACGCCGCGUGGAGGAAGAAGGUCUUCGGAUUGUAAACUCCUGUUGUUGAGGAAGAUAAUGACGGUACUCAACAAGGAAGUGACGGCUAACUACGUG